rnacentral:lncRNA from 1 species
UUUUAUCAACAAACGUCCUAUCAACGUCUAUAUAUAUAGGGUAUUGUAUUUGCAGCUGCACACAAGAGUUCAUCACUUAAUCUAUUGCUACUGCUUUAUCUUUUAUAUUUAUGCAUAAACGUUGCAUGGCUACGCUAAAACCAAGUCUUGUUUUAGUGUUCAUAGUGGUGACUACGUUGAUGCUUGUGGCAAGUGCAGAAGCUCCUCUUCCUCAUCAUGAGAGUUCAUUCAUACCCAGAAAGAUGGAUAGCGGUCGUAUUUUACGUGAACUAGGAUAUGAUGGAUCGAGACUUGAACAUCACCGGAUGAGGUUCAUGCAAGGGGCAGACCCUCAGAGAGAAUCACCAGGAGGACCAGAUCCGCAGCAUCAUUAGGGGCAUAUGUGUACUCGAUCGUAUAAUAGCUGCUUUAAUCUUAGCUUAAUUAAACUCAUCAUGCAUGGUUUUAAGUUGAUGUUCUUGCAGCUGAGUUAUGUAUGAAAUAGAAUAAUGAAGGAAGAGUUUAUCCGAGUCCUAUAUGAGAUAUAUGUUUUUGUAAUGUAUAUCUAGCAAUAAGAAUAAUUGCAUGCCCCAGUUGUUGAGAAAUUUUAAGUUUCCUUUUUUUCCCCCUCUCUUUUCAUGCACCAUUAUGUUUAUUGAAUUGAGAAAUUGUCGAAUGCUCACUUCGUGAAACCAAUUACUUCUUUACCUUUUUAAGCUUAAUGGACAUUUAUGACCAAUACCCACAAAGGUUUUAUAUAAAAAAAAUGUUUUGAAGCAGGUGG